rnacentral:rRNA from 1 species
AUUGAACGCUGGCGGCAGGCCUAACACAUGCAAGUCGAGCGGAGCGGCGGACGGGUGAGUAAUGCCUAGGAAUCUGCCUGGUAGUGGGGGAUAACGUCCGGAAACGGGCGCUAAUACCGCAUACUAUCAGAUGAGCCUAGGUCGGAUUAGCUAGUUGGUGGGGUAAAGGCCUACCAAGGCGACGAUCCGUAACUGGUCUGAGAGGAUGAUCAGUCACACUGGAAAUGGGACACGGUCCAAAACCCUACGGGAGGCAGCGGGGGGUAAAAUUGGCAAAAGGGCGAAAGACUGGUCCAGCCAGGCCGGGGGGGGGAAGAAGGUCUUCGGAUUGUAAAGCACUUACAGCGAGGAGGCGUUACUCGCAGAAGAAGCACCGGCUAACUCCGUGCCAGCAGCCGCGGUAAUU